UUACUACGAAAGUGGUGGAAGCUCUUAUCUGCACACAAGAUUGGAUUCGGACUACGCGUGCACCAUUAGCCAUUGAGGACACCUUGGAUGAGUUAACGAAAAUUGAGUCGGAGUAGAAAGUACUCGUCCUCAACUAAAUGAUUGAAGGGCAAUCCAAAUUUCCAAUAACAAGUUGACUUUUGACAAUGGAUUAGCAUGUGCUUGGAGUUUGACGGUUGACAAUGGA